rnacentral:rRNA from 1 species
AUUGAACGCUGGCGGCAUGCUUUACACAUGCAAGUCGAACGGCAGCGCGGGCUUCGGCCUGGCGGCGAGUGGCGAACGGGUGAGUAAUACAUCGGAACGUGCCCAGUAGUGGGGGAUAGCUCGGCGAAAGCCGGAUUAAUACCGCAUACGACCUGAGGGUGGAAGCGGGGGAUCUUCGGACCUCGCGCUAUUGGAGCGGCCGAUGGCAGAUUAGCUAGUUGGUGGGGUAAAGGCCUACCAAGGCGACGAUCUGUAGCUGGUCUGAGAGGACGACCAGCCACACUGGGACUGAGACACGGCCCAGACUCCUACGGGAGGCAGCAGUGGGGAAUUUUGGACAAUGGGCGAAAGCCUGAUCCAGCAAUGCCGCGUGCGUGAUGAAGGCCUUCGGGUUGUAAAGCACUUUUGGCGGGAACGAAAAGGACUGUGCCAAUACCACGGUUCGAUGACGGUACCCGCAGAAUAAGCACCGGCUAACUACGUG